AAUAAGAAAUUUUAAGAUACUUUUUUUAAUGCAUUGUAGAGAUCACAAUUCAAUGUUGUUUGUUUUGAUCUAGUGUGAACUGAAGACUACAAUUCCACAUUUGGGCAUCUCCAGCUGUGCAGCACAAAUUACCAAUAUUGUUAAAUGUCAAUGAAGAUGUUUAGUCCUCAUGAUGUUUCACCUAAAGUAAAGGUGAAUGAAGAUGACAUCCUUAGCGUUGAUUGCUCACUUCCAAUUUGCUACUGGGUUGGUGUUACUUUCGAUGUACGCCACCUUCUACUCAUGCCUUUGAAUCUCACUUACAUCGGUCUCACUUCCAAAUUACAAGUCUUCGUUCAACUAGUCCUAAGUCUCGUCACUUCGACGUAGAGGCUGGGCAAGUCUAAGUCGUGCACAAGUCUUGGUAAGAACUUGUUUCCCUAUUUAUGUGAAUAUAGUGAGUUCAAGUUUUCUAUCGAAUUAAAAAAGACGAAAACUACUACAAUUAAGGAGAGUGUAUAUAUAUAUAUACUGUGUAUGGAGAGAAGUCGUUUCCUACUGUCAAGAAUGUUGUCGAGGAUACAUUGCUUGUUUUAUAUCUAUAUGAUGAUUAUGGCUAAUUACUUUACUACAGGUGCAUUAGCAAUAGCUCAUACCAAUUUCAGCACAGAUCAGUCUGCGCUUCUUGCGCUCAAAGCUCACAUCACUAGUGACCCUCAAAACAUCUUGACCGCCAACUGGUAGUCUGCCUCCAAUUCCAACAUUUGCAACUGGGUUGGCGUUAGCUGUGGUGCUCGCCACCACAAAGUCACGGCCUUAAAUAUUUUAAUAAUAGAAAACAAUUUUUAGUUUUAUAUACUUAAAAACUUUAUAAAAAAAAGAAACAAAAGAAGAAGUAAAUGAAUAAAUUGGGAGUCAAGCUUCAACCUUGUAGCUUUCUGGUUAGUUGUUCGUUCUUGGUUUGGCUGAAAUGGAAAAAUAUUAUGACGGAAGCCUCACAUUGAUUUGAGAUACUCAAUUUCAGUGACAACUUAAUUACAAACUAAUUGAUAUCCAUUUCAUUUUCAUUUAUCUUUUUUUUUUCACUUUUUAUUAAAAUUGAAAAAUUGUAAACCUCUUUGGUAACUGCUUUCUUGAGUUUUCAAUGUUUAGCCUUUAUUUUUCAAUUUCCUUUUAAAAAAAAAACAUUAAAAGUAGUACAAAACAAAUUUUCAGUUUUAAAAAAAAAUGGCUUCGAAAAAUAAAAACUAAAACGAAAUAGUUAUCAAACGUGUCCUUAAUUAUCAAGAAAAUAAGAAAUUUUAAGAUACUUUUUUUAAUGCAUUGUAGAGAUCACAAUUCAAUGUUGUUUGUUUUGAUCUAGUGUGAACUGAAGACUACAAUUCCACAUUUGGGCAUCUCCAGCUGUGCAGCACAAUUUACCAAUAUUGUUAAAUGUCAAUGAAGAUGUUUAGUCCUCAUGAUGUUUCACCUAAAGUAAAGGUGAAUGAAGAUGACAUCCUUAGCGUUGAUUGCUCACUUCCAAUUUGCUACUGGGUUGGUGUUACUUACGAUGUACGCUGAUGAGUAUAUUUUAUAUUAUAUAUUUUACCCUAAUCUUAGUAUAUUUUGGUUAAUAUAUUGGAAGAAUUUUGAUGCUUUGAAUUGUAUUUUCAAUAUAGGACUUUCGACUUCCUCUGGAGCAAAACAGGAUCAAAUGGACGAAUUUUGGAGUAAUUCCAAUUGGAGGACGUUCGUGAGUCACUUAGCUUGAUCGUAUCAAAAUUUGGGAUUUUUCCACCAAGCGGUUAUUUUCUGGCGAGGAAAUAAAGAAGCAGUGCGCAGUGCUGGAAAUUGACGUUUUUGGGCUUAAAUGACGUUUUUGGAGCCCAAAAUGACCUCGGAUGGGUUCGUGGCCUUCUGGAAAAGUGUUCAGAAUAUUCCAAACAUUCAAUCCAGCUAUAUUGGGCCAGUUUUGGAGCAGCUUAUGGGCCAAAACGUGGCUGUUCAGAUUUUAGACGAAUUUUGCUAUUUUUAUUUAGGGUUUUUAUUAAUUUUAGUUUGCUAGGGUUUGUGGGGUGGCUUAGCAAAUAUAUUGCUUGGCCGUCUACAGUUUUAGACUACGCUUUAUUUUAUGCAAUAUUGGAGACAGAGAGAAGUGCUAGGGUUUUGAAGAUUUUCUACUUGAAGGUGUUUUCAAUCCUUUUCUUAAUAGAUAUUUCUAUGAUUUCAAUUAUGAAUAUGCGGAACUAAUUUCUAUUGCUAGGGCGAAGCCUUGAGCCUUAGCAUGAAUAUGUGAUUUUUAUUUAAUUGCUUAUGAUUGAUUGCAUGCAUAUUUUGAAUUGUUAAUCACUGGGAUAAAAACUAUCUAAUUGUCUUAAUGUCUGAUCACCAUUAGGAUCUUUAGAAAAGUAAUUUGAUGCAAUUUUGGUCGGAAGGUUCCCUGAAAUUGACGCUGGCUUCUUGUGAUUAAUAAUUGUAAUUUCUCUUAGGAUGAAUAUCACGUCUUAAGGAUUGCAUGGUUUUUCAAAGGAUUUUCAUAAAGCAUAAUGAGUCUUUCAUGUUUAGAUUUGAUCCGAACGUCCGGACGGGUUGCAUGUUAGAUAUACGUUCUAUGUUGGAGGUUCCAAGUAGAAUAUGAAUUAGGAAAAUCUAACCUUCAAAGUGGCAUGUGUAGAUCAUAAGUAAUUGGUAAAAAUUCAUAGGAUUGCUAGGUGAUGGUGGAACCCUAGUGCUUUCUUAAUUUGAUUUUCUCAAAACUGUUUUCUUCUCUUUAGUCCUAAUAUUGCAGAUUGUUUAUUUUAAUUCAUUAAAUUCGUUUUUAUUUUAAUUAGGUUAUAAAAUCAAUCACUUCAAUUUCUACUUUACAAUAAUUAAAUGGAAUCUGAUUAGUUCAAAUUAUUUAAUAAUCCCUGUGGAGAUGACCUUGCGAAAUCCGUUUAUACUACAAUAACUUUGUAAUUCUUGCAAGUAAAAUAGGAGAUUUAAGCCCGUUCACAUAAGUAGUAAAAAUCCCUAUCAUACGCCACCUUCUAGUCAUGCCUUUGAAUCUCACUUACAUCGGUCUCACUUCCAAAUUACAAGUCUUCGUUCAACUAGUCCUAAGUCUCGUCACUUCGACGUAGAGGCCGGGCAAGUCUAAGUCGUGCACAAGUCUUGGUAAGAACUUGUUUCCCUAAUGUGAAUAUAGUGAGUUCAAGUUUUCUAUCGAAUUAAAAAAGACGAAAACUACUACAAUUAAGGAGAGUGUAUAUAUAUAUAUAUUGUGUAUGGAGAGAAGUCGUUUCCUACUGUCAAGAAUGUUGUCGAGGAUACAUUGCUUGUUUUAUAUCUAUAUGAUGAUUAUGGCUAAUUACUUUACUCCAGGUGCAUUAGCAAUAGCUCAUACCAAUUUCAGCACAGAUCAGUCUGCGCUUCUUGCGCUCAAAGCUCACAUCACUAGUGACCCUCAAAACAUCUUGACCGCCAACUGGUAGUCUGCCUCCAAUUCCAACAUUUGCAACUGGGUUGGCGUUAGCUGUGGUGCUCGCCACCACAAAGUCACGGCCUUAAAUAUUUUAAUAAUAGAAAACAAUUUUUAGUUUUAUAUACUUAAAAACUUUAUAAAAAAAAGAAACAAAAGAAGAAGUAAAUGAAUAAAUUGGGAGUCAAGCUUCAACCUUGUAGCUUUCUGGUUAGUUGUUCAUUCUUGGUUUGGCUGAAAUGGAAAAAUAUUAUGACGGAAGCCUCACAUUGAUUUGAGAUACUCAAUUUCAGUGACAACUUAAUUACAAACUAAUUGAUAUCCAUUUCAUUUUCAUUUAUCUUUUUUUUUUCACUUUUUAUUAAAAUUGAAAAAUUGUAAACCUCUUUGGUAACUGCUUUCUUGAGUUUUCAAUGUUUAGCCUUUAUUUUUCAAUUUCCUUUAAAAAAAAACAUUAAAAGUAGUACAAAACAAAUUUUCAGUUUUAAAAAAAAAAUGGCUUCGAAAAAUAAAAACUAAAACGAAAUAGUUAUCAAACUUGUCCUUAAUUAUCAAGAAAAUAAGAAAUUUUAAGAUACUUUUUUUAAUGCAUUGUAGAGAUCACAAUUCAAUGUUGUUUGUUUUGAUCUAGUGUGAACUGAAGACUACAAUUCCACAUUUGGGCAUCUCCAGCUGUGCAGCACAAAUUACCAAUAUUGUUAAAUGUCAAUGAAGAUGUUUAGUCCUCAUGAUGUUUCACCUAAAGUAAAGGUGAAUGAAGAUGACAUCCUUAAGCGUUGAUUGCUCACUUCCAAUUUGCUACUGGGUUGGUGUUACUUACGAUGUACGCCACCUUCUAGUCAUGCCUUUGAAUCUCACUUACAUCGGUCUCACUUCCAAAUUACAAGUCUUCGUUCAACUAGUCCAAGUCUCGUCACUUCAACGUAGAGGCCGGGCAAGUCUAAGUCGUGCACAAGUCUUGGUAAGAACUUGUUUCCCUAUUUAUGUGAAU
rnacentral:lncRNA from 1 species